UCCCUACGGGACGCAGCAGUGAGGAAUAUUGGUCAAUGGGAGAGAUCCUGAACCAGCCAAGCCGCGUGAGGGAAGACGGCCCUAUGGGUUGUAAACCUCUUUUGUCGGAGAACAAAACCCGGGACGAGUCCCGGACUGCGUGUAUCCGAAGAAAAAGCAUCGGCUAACUCCGUGCCAGCAGCCGCGGUAAUACGGAGGAUGCGAGCGUUAUCCGGAUUUAUUGGGUUUAAAGGGUGCGUAGGCGGGCUUUUAAGUCAGCGGUAAAAAUUCGGGGCUCAACCCCGUCCGGCCGUUGAAACU
rnacentral:rRNA from 1 species